AUUUUUUAAAAUUAGUCUUUAUAUAUAUAAAAAAGAUAGUAUUAUUUAAUAUCAAUGUAGCCAAUGGUAAAUAUCAAUACCUAUAAAAAAAUUGAUCUUUUAGUCAUUUUGCACCAAACCCCUUACUUUUAAUAUUAAUACAUUGGAACAAUGUCUCUCAUACAUUACUUUCACUGAUAAUCUCACUUCUCAGUUUUCUCUUAAGGUUGAAUUAAUCGUCUUUAUUUUACCCUUAACUCUUUCAUUUUAUAUUUUAUUGUUCCCGAAUCAUUUAUCAAUAAAAUCAACUUCUUUUUAAAUUAUUAUUUUCCUUGAUUUUUCAUGACAUUUAAUGGAUAGAUUUCACUUCAAAUUAUUAACCGACAAAGUUUUCUUUUUUAAGAUCUUUGAAGUUUAUUUUUUAUUGCAAAUAUGUUUACAACUCUAAUCAAGCAUUUAUGAACGAAAACAUGUUCUUAUUUGAACUAUCAUAUUUUCCAUCGGUUUUCACCUAGAUUUCUUUUUAUUUUUAUGGUUUUUCAACUUUUGUUUCCUGUGCAUGUGUAUUUUUAAGUUUAAUUUUGCUCCAGUUAAUUGAUUCUGAAUAGAAUUACCUUUUUCAUUUUUUUUACAACAAUGUCAUGUUUUUUUCUUUUGCAUAUUAUGAACUAUAUUCAUAAUGUAUGAGUGUUUUACACUUGAAUCAACCUUCGAACCUUUCGUUUAGUAAGAGUUUCAGGUCGUUUUAGUGAAAACACAUUUUUCCAAUUUAUUUUUCACCAACAAUCUUUUAUUUUUAUGGUUUAUGAACUGUAUUUGAGAUGGAAAAAUCACUUUAAUCCGCCUUGACGGAUACUUUUAUGAAUUUUUGAGGUCUUUUCGGUAAGUAAGAUAUUUUUCAUGUUUUUUUGCCAACAAUUUUAUGAUUGUGAGGGUUGUCAAGUGUAUUUCAUUUGCAUGUCUAUUUCGUAGUUUAAUAUAUCUUUAAACUUUCAUCUUACUCCUUUCAUUUUACUUUUUCUUCUAUUGUUUUUCACCCUGACCUUGCUAACAUAUUUUUUUAUUUUUUUUAUCUUUUACUUUAAAACAAGUUCAUAUCUUUGAAAAAAGUGAUUGUACAAUGAAAAGACCAUUUGAUUCAAUCAAGAACAUUGGCGAUUCGAAAGAUUUGUGAAAACUUGUUCGUAUAUAAGAUCUUUGGCAUGUUACGCAAUCCUCAAAACUUAAACGCGUGAAGUUUAUAAGGGAGACAAGAUACAGGUUGUUGUCCCAUCGGAAUUUUGCUCGCUUUGAAAAUCUAUUUUGACAUAAGGAUCUUCAUAUCUUAUGCAGAGCUUUAAGAUUCAAGAAAAUGAUUUUACACUAAAGUCAUGUGAUCAUCGUUUUAAACUCUUCUUCAUAGGCGGUGAUGGAGGUUAUAAAGUCACUCCUAAGGACUUUCCUGAUAUCCCUUUCUAUAAGUUUAACUUCAAAAGUUUUUUGAAAUCAACAAUGGCAAAUGUCGUCCUGAUCUAUUACUUGCAUCAACAACAUUACCUGUACUCUUUUGGGAGUAUAUGCCGAAAAGUUUUUAGCUGGACUCAACAUCCGUGAUCCAUCGUUUCCUUUCAUUGUUAUUUUGAAACAUGCCAAAAAUUAAGGAGCCUCAAGGUAUAGAGUUGAAGUUGAAGUGUGUUGUGAUAAUCAUAAGUUCAAGUUUAUUUUCUGGGAUAAGGACUGCACAAAGUUAAUAGGAAAAAUAGUUAAGGAACUCUGUUCUAUAAUGAUUAAGGAAAAAGAGUUUGAUCCCCAUGAGUACAUUGUUCUUCUUGACUUAAUGAUGGGGAAAGAGACAUCCUUUAAGGUCAAAGCACAACCAAGAUUUAAGCAGGGAUUUGUACUCAAUUAUAAGACAGACCCAAAGAUCAUUGAGCAUUUGAAAGAUUGUUUUGCAUGUUCAACCAAUUCCCUUGUACCAAUGAUUUCUCAAUCAGAACUUUCACGUAUUUCAGACUUUGAUCCUAACCUCACUAAAACAAAUACCCCUGUCAAAUGGCCUGUUACUGAACCCUUUGUUGAAGGUCAUGUUUCAUCUAAUAAAAAAACCAAGAAACUUAUCAAAAAUAUCAAGAGGGAAAAGAUUAUUCCAACAAACCUCAAUAUUUAAAUCCUAUUUCUAUUUUCAAAUUCAAACAAUGUGAGUGACAUUUUUUGGAAAUAAUGACAACUUUUUGUUUAAUUUGGAACCUUUUGUAUGUAAUGACUGCCACCUGUUGUAAAUUAAAUAUCAAUGCACAAUAUGGUUGUUGUUAAUCUUUUGUUUGACAACAACCUCUAAUCUAUAUAUAAAAAUAUUGAAUUUCCUUUGUA